ACGCACGCUGGCGGCGUGCUUAACACCUGCAAGUCGAACGGAAAGGCCCUGCCUUUGUGGGGUGCUCGAGUGGCGAACGGGUGAGUAACACGUGAGUAACCUGCCCUUGACUUUGGGAUAACUUCAGGAAACUGGGGCUAAUACCGGAUAGGAGCUCCUGCUGCAUGGUGGGGGUUGGAAAGUUUCGGCGGUUGGGGAUGGACUCGCGGCUUAUCAGCUUGUUGGUGGGGUAGUGGCUUACCAAGGCUUUGACGGGUAGCCGGCCUGAGAGGGUGACCGGCCACAUUGGGACUGAGAUACGGCCCAGACUCCUACGGGAGGCAGCAGUGGGGAAUAUUGCACAAUGGGCGGAAGCCUGAUGCAGCAACGCCGCGUGCGGGAUGACGGCCUUCGGGUUGUAAACCGCUUUCGCCUGUGACGAAGCGUGAGUGACGGUAAUGGGUAAAGAAGCACCGGCUAACUACGUG
rnacentral:rRNA from 1 species